CAAUAGCGUAUAUUAAAGUUGUUGCAGUUAAAAAGCUCGUAGUUGAAUUUUUGCUUGCCGCCGAUGUCGGAACUUCCGUACGUUCGGCGGCGUGCAUCCUUGGGUGGAACCUGUGUGGCAUUAGGUUGUCGUGCAGGGGAUGCUCAUCGUUUACUGUGAAAAAAUUAGAGUGUUCAAAGCAGGCUUACGCCGUUGAAUAUAUUAGCAUGGAAUAAUAAGAUAGGACCUUGGUACUAUUUUGUUGGUUUGCGCACCGAGGUAAUGAUUAACAGGGACAGUUGGGGGUAUUCGUAUUCCAUUGUCAGAGGUGAAAUUCUUGGAUUUCUGGAAGACGAGCUACUGCGAAAGCAUUUACCAAGGAUGUUUUCAUUAA
rnacentral:rRNA from 1 species